rnacentral:misc_RNA from 1 species
AACUUUCGACAACGGAUCACUUGGCUCUCGCAUCGAUGAAGAACGCAGCGAAAUGCGAUAAGUAAUGUGAAUUGCAGAUUUUCAGUGAAUCAUCUAAUCUUUGAACGCACCUUGCGCCCCUUGGUAUUCCGAGGGGCAUGCCUGUUUGAGUGUCAUUAAAUUAUCGACUCCGAUUUGAUUUGUUUCUAAUCGGAGCUUGGACUUGGAGUGUGCUGGCGUCUAGUCGGCUCCUCUCAAAUGCAUCAGCUGAAUCUAACCUUUGGUUUCCGGACGUCGGUGUGAUAAUAAAGUUGCUCCGUCAUUCGACUUCAAAGUCCGCUUAUAAUGGUCUUCGGACAAACUCUUAUAUCAAAUUUGACCUCAAAUCAGGUAGGACUCCCCGCUGAACUUAAGCAUAUCAAUAAGCGGAGGCU